CUAGUACUCCCUCCGUCCUAAAAUUCUUGUCUUAGAUUUGUCUAGAUACGGAUGUAUCAAGUCACGUUUUAGUAUUAGAUACAUUCGUACCUAGACAAAUGUAAGACAAGAAUUUUGGGACGGAGGGAGUAUUAU
rfam:Triticum aestivum genome assembly, contig: Triticum_aestivum_CS42_TGACv1_scaffold_221135_3B